rnacentral:rRNA from 1 species
UACGGGGGGGGCAAGCGUUGUUCGGAAUUACUGGGCGUAAAGCGCGUGUAGGCGGGCCCCCAAGUCGGACGUGAAAGCCCCGAGCUCAACUCGGGAACUGCAUCCGAAACUGAGGGCCUUGAGUGAUGGAGAGGGAAGCAGAAUUCCUGGUGUAGAGGUGAAAUUCGUAGAUAUCAGGAGGAACACCAGUGGCGAAGGCGGCUCACUGGCCCGGUACUGACGCUGAGGUGCGAAAGCGUGGGGAGCAAACAGG